rnacentral:rRNA from 1 species
AUGCAGUCGAGCGGACCUCUUCGGAGGUUAGCGGCGGACGGGUGAGUAACACGUGGGCAACCUGCCUGUAAGACUGGGAUAACUCCGGGAAACCGGAGCUAAUACCGGAUAGUAUCUUGAACCGCAUGGUUCAAGCUGGAAAGACGGUUUCGGCUGUCACUUACAGAUGGGCCCGCGGCGCAUUAGCUAGUUGGUGAGGUAAUGGCUCACCAAGGCAACGAUGCGUAGCCGACCUGAGAGGGUGAUCGGCCACACUGGGACUGAGACACGGCCCAGACUCCUACGGGAGGCAGCAGUAGGGAAUCUUCCGCAAUGGACGAAAGUCUGACGGAGCAACGCCGCGUGAGUGAUGAAGGUUUUCGGAUCGUAAAACUCUGUUGUUAGGGAAGAACAAGUGCGAGAGUAACUGCUCGCACCUUGACGGUACCUAACCAGAAAGCCACGGCUAACUACGUGCCAGCAGCCGCGGUAAUACGUAGGUGGCAAGCGUUGUCCGGAAUUAUUGGGCGUAAAGCGCGCGCAGGCGGUUUCUUAAGUCUGAUGUGAAAGCCCCCGGCUCAACCGGGGAGGGUCAUUGGAAACUGGGAAACUUGAGUGCAGAAGAGGAGAGUGGAAUUCCACGUGUAGCGGUGAAAUGCGUAGAGAUGUGGAGGAACACCAGUGGCGAAGGCGACUCUCUGGUCUGUAACUGACGCUGAGGCGCGAAAGCAUGGGGAGCGAACAGGAUUAGAUACCCUGGUAGUCCACGCCGUAGACGAUGAGUGCUAAGUGUUAGAGGGUUUCCGCCCUUUAGUGCUGCAGCUAACGCAUUAAGCACUCCGCCUGGGGAGUACGGUCGCAAGACUGA